GACGUAGGGCGCGAGCGUUGUCCGGAUUUAUUGGGCGUAAAGAGCUCGUAGGCGGCUUGUCGCGUCGUCCGUGAAAACCCAUGGCUCAACUGUGGGCUUGCGGUCGAUACGGGCAGGCUAGAGUUCGGUAGGGGAGACUGGAAUUCCUGGUGUAGCGGUGAAAUGCGCAGAUAUCAGGAGGAAUACCGGUGGCGAAGGCGGGUCUCUGGGCCGAUACUGACGCUGAGGAGCGAAAGCGUGGGGAGCGAACAGG
rnacentral:rRNA from 1 species